AUUUAUUUGCUUGCUUAUUUGUUUGUUUAUUAAUUACAGAGAGCACAAGCUGGGCAGGGGCAGAGGGAGAGAGAGAAUCUCAAGCAGUCUCCAUACCCAAUGCAAGAGCCCCACACGACUGAAAUCAUGACUUGAGCGGGAAUCAAGAGUCCGACACUUAACUGAUUGAGCCACUCAGGAGCCUCAUGUAUGGAUGAGGAAAAUGAUACUCAAAGAAGGUGAUGAUACCUUCUCCAAACCACCAAGGAGCGCCAGAAUUUCACCCCAGAGCCCGCAAACUUCUCCCCCUCCCGCAACCGCCCCCAGUGUCAAGUCUCAGUUGGCCAUUCUCCCUGCUUCACCGAGAGGAUAAAAUGCAUCUCUGUUAAUCAGGCCGUUCCCAGCUCCACAAGUGCCCCUGCACGUUAGUUAAAAACCAGGUGACAUCUCAGAGCAGACGUGGCUGAAAGAACUGACCGUUCAAGGUGUUGUUGUGGUGCACGUCGAGAAGGUGAAAAUACUCCACCAAGACCUUCACGUUCCUCACGGAUAACAGGCAGUAUAGCUUGUCCAGAUAGAGGUACCACAGAAACGAGCCCUGCUUCAGUUUCAUCGUGGCGCUCCGGAGGCCGAAGGCGCGGGCGACCUGGAACAAAGGAGGGUUCUGGAACUAGAAUGCUGGCUCGAGAGAGGCUCUGGGAGUAGGCAGAGACAUCACAGGAAGCAGUCAGUAAAAAAAUUAAAAUUGCUUCCUCCCAGUCCUCUGGCCUGGCUGGUAGUAUCUGUGGUCUUAAAUCUCUCGCUACCUUGGUUUUCCUCUGCCACCACAUCACCAGUUGUAACCGAAAAUCACAGACUGUUUAGAAAUGAAUGCGAGAACACUCUCUGCUUACACUCUGUCUCUCUCUCAAAAUAAAGACCCCCACACACA